GGGGAUUUGGCUCAGUGGUAGAGUGCUUGCCUAGGAAGCGCAAGGUCCUGGGUUCGAUCCCCAGCCCCG
rfam:Rattus norvegicus chromosome 10, whole genome shotgun sequence.